rnacentral:misc_RNA from 1 species
GUUAAAAGGAAAGUUCCAUAGAGUAUAGGUGAUGCCUCUUUGGUCCGAGCGACAUCGAGACCGCCGGAAUCGACUGUGGCAGCCAACUGCAACUACUAUGCUCUCCUCGUUUCCUUUCUGACUUGUUUUCACGUUUUACCAAUCAUGGGAGGGAAGAGAGAGGACGGGCGAUGGAGGAAGAAGAGUGAGUGGGACUAUGGGACGGAAGGAAGAGAGGAGAAUACUUAACAAUUCGUUCGGGGGAGGAG